GCAGUCGACGGUAACAGGAUGUGCUUGCGCAUCGCUGACGAGUGGCGGACGGGUGAGUAAUGCUUGGGAACUUGCCUUUGCGAGGGGGAUAACAGUUGGAAACGACUGCUAAUACCGCAUAAUGUCUUCGGACCAAACGGGGCUUAGGCUCCGGCGCAAAGAGAGGCCCAAGUGAGAUUAGCUAGUUGGUAAGGUAACGGCUUACCAAGGCGACGAUCUCUAGCUGUUCUGAGAGGAAGAUCAGCCACACUGGGACUGAGACACGGCCCAGACUCCUACGGGAGGCAGCAGUGGGGAAUAUUGCACAAUGGGGGAAACCCUGAUGCAGCCAUGCCGCGUGUGUGAAGAAGGCCUUCGGGUUGUAAAGCCCUUUCAGUUGUGAGGAAAAGUUAGUAGUUAAUACCUGCUAGCCGUGACGUUAACAACAGAAGAAGCACCGGCUAACUCCGUGCCAGUAGCCGCGGUAAUACGGAGGGUGCGAGCGUUAAUCGGAAUUACUGGGCGUAAGGCGCACGCAGGCGGUUUGUUAAGCUAGACGUGAAAGCCCCGGGCUCAACCUGGGAUGGUCAUUUAGAACUGGCAGACUAGAGUCUUGGAGAGGGGAGUGGAAUUCCAGGUGUAGCGGUGAAAUGCGUAGAUAUCUGGAGGAACAUCAGUGGCGAAGGCGACUCCCUGGCCAAAGACUGACGCUCAUGUGCGAAAGUGUGGGUAGCGAACGGGAUUAGAUACCCUGGGUA
rnacentral:rRNA from 1 species